rnacentral:rRNA from 1 species
UACGAAGGGGGCUAGCGUUGUUCGGAAUCACUGGGCGUAAAGGGCGCGUAGGCGGCUUUUCAAGUCGGGGGUGAAAGCCUGUGGCUCAACCACAGAAUUGCCUUCGAUACGGUUAGGCUUGAGACCGGAAGAGGUGAGUGGAACUGCGAGUGUAGAGGUGAAAUUCGUAGAUAUUCGCAAGAACACCAGUGGCGAAGGCGGCUCACUGGUCCGGUUCUGACGCUGAGGCGCGAAAGCGUGGGGAGCAAACAGG